ensembl:snRNA U1 U1 spliceosomal RNA
ACAGUUACGCGUUCUGUUUGGUCUAGAGUCUACAGUCACUGUAGACUCUAGACCAAUCAGAACGCGUAACUGUCUACAGUCGCUUGCGCUACUGUAGACUCGACCCCUGCGAAUUUCCCAAAUGUGGAAAUCUCGAUUGCAUAAUUUCUGGUAGUGGGGGACUGCGUUCGCGCUCUCCCCUG